UACAGAGGGUGCGAGCGUUGUCCGGAAUCACUGGGCGUAAAGGGCGCGUAGGCGGCUUGAUAAGCGUGCGGUGAAAGCCCGGGGCUCAACCCCGGGUCGGCCGUGCGAACUGUCGAGCUGGAGCACUGUAGAGGCAGGUGGAAUUCCGGGUGUAGCGGUGGAAUGCGUAGAGAUUCGGAAGAACACCGGUGGCGAAGGCGGCCUGCUGGGCAGUGGCUGACGCUGAGGCGCGACAGCGUGGGGAGCAAACAGG
rnacentral:rRNA from 1 species